CUUCAACAUCUUCGAUUCCAUUUUGGGUGCCUCCAUGGGGACUGUGUGUCCCUGUACUGGAACGCAAGUGAAGACUUGGCUCAGAGUCCAUUUGCUGUUCUCUAGAAAUCCAGCCUAAUCCUCUUGUGCAAAUAUAAUAUAUAUCUAGUAGGCAUUGCUUUUUCUUUCUGGAGACAAAACACAGGAGGAUUGCCCCUUGAUGAACAGGACUAACCUGCUGAUUCUUUGAAGCAAGGAACUGGAAAUGGUCCUUUUAGGGAUUUAUGCUCUGGAUUCCAGAAAACACGCAAACAGGGCCAAUAAAUGCAUCUUUAUUUUUGUGUCCAUUUUGACCUGGUCAAGGAAGAUUCCAACAAAAAAUCCACAGUGCCGGAGCAAGAAGAUCUCAGGCUGUGUCCCUCUACAGGGAAGCGCUUUCUGUUGUCUGAAAGAAAGGAAAGUGCAUCCUUUUAGAGUGUUACUGUUUGAGAAAAGCAACGUUGAAGUUGAUGCUGAUUUUGGUAAUACAUUUGCAGAGCAUGCUUAUCAUCAGACUUGGAUGAUGUUGGGUUCUGUUUUUGCUUUGUUUUUUUUUCCAAGACAGUGUGUUUGUUGCCCAGGCUGGAGUGCGGUGGUACUUCCCACCUAGAUCUCUUGGGCUCAAGAGGUCUUUUUUUAUUUUUCUUUCUCAAGAGAGAGUCUGGUGGUGACACCCAGGCUGGAGUGCAGUGGUGCAUUAUCAGCUCACUGCAGCCUUCCCCUCCCCGGUUCAAGUGAUUCUUUCACCUCAGCCUCCCGAGUAGCUGGGAUUACAGGUGUGGGCUACCACACCCGGCUAAUUUUUGUAUUUUUAGCAGAGACAGGGUUUUACCAUGUUGGGGAGGCUGGUCUCAACUCCUGUCCUCAAGCGAUCCACCUCCCUUGCCUCCCAAGUACUGAGAUUACAGGCGUGAGCAACUGCGCCCGGCCUCAAGUGGUCCUCUUAAGUCAGCCUACCAAGUUUUGGGACUACAUGGGGCAUGCCACCACACUUGGCUAAGUUUUUAAUUUUUUUUUUUUUUUUUUUUUUUUUUUUUGAGACGGAGUCUCACUCUGUCGCCCAGGCUGGAGUGCAGUGGCAAGAUCUCGGCUCACUGCAAGCUCGGCCUCCGGGGUUCACGCCAUUCUCCUGCCUCAGCCUCCCGAGUAGCUGGGACUACAGGUGCCCGCCACCACGCCUGGCUAGUUUUUUGUAUUUUUAGUAGAGACGGGGUUUCACCCUGUUAGCUAGGAUGGUCUCAAUCUCCUGACCUCGUGAUCCACCCGCCUCGGCCUCCCAAAGUGCUGGGAUUACAGGCGUGAGCCACCGCGCCCGGCCGAUAGUUUUUAAUUUUUGAUAGAAAGGGAAUCUCUCUUGCCUAAGAUGGUCUCAACUCCUGAGCUCAAGGGAUCCUAAAGGUGUGAGCCGCCUUGUCCUGAUGACCCAUUUCAAACGUAGCUGACAUGGCCAGGCAUCAUGGGGCACACAGUCCCAGCUACUGCAGAAGCCGGGGUGGGAGGGUCCUUUGAUUUCCAGGCUAUACCAUGUGCUGAUCACACUUUUGAUCCCGAGUAGCUGGGAUUACAGGCAGCCACCGCCAGGCCGGCUAAUUUUUAUUUAUUUACUUAUUUUUUCAGACGGUGUUUCCCUCUUGUUGCCCAGGCUGGAGUGCAAUGGCAUGAUCUCGGAUCACUGCAACCUCCACCUCCCUGGUUCAAGCGAUUCUCCUGCCUCAGCCUCCCGAGCAGCUGGGAUUACAGGCAUGCAUCACCACGCCCGGCUAAUUCUUUGUAUUUUUAGUAGAGAUGGGAUUUCUCCAUGUUGGUCAGGCUGAUCUUGAACUCCCAACCUUAGGUGAUCCACCCACCUCGGCCUCCCAAAGUGCUGGGAUUACAGGCAUGAGCCAUUGUGCCCGGCCCAUUUCAUUUAUUUUUAUGUGUGCUGCUGAAGCAAGCACUUAUGUGUAGGAAUUGUUCUUCCUGUGAGCAUAUGUUGGCCAGCCUGGACCACAUACCAAGAUCCCAUCUCUUUAAAAACACAGAUUACGUGGCACCUGGCACCUGGUCCCAGAGACUUCAUUUGGGUUGGUCAUUUGAAACACUAGCCUCCCAUCAAUUUAGUGUAAUCAAUCCAAAUCAUGUGUCCUUCAUUAAGAGACUAAGAACGCCUCCACGUCUAUCCAGUCUAUUUUGUAAUCCCCAACGGUUGUCAAUAUUAAUAAAAUUUCUUUUCUUUUUCCUA
ensembl:lncRNA novel transcript